rnacentral:hammerhead_ribozyme from 1 species
GCACUGCUGAGGAGUUCCACAAUAGGACGAAAGAGCCGUCCAGUGC